rnacentral:lncRNA from 1 species
CCAGCCUGCGGGGGGAGGCGCACCUGUGACGGCAGCGCGCAGGGUAACGCGCGGAGCUGGCCCCGCGUUUGCGCUGCGCGGCGCCUUGCGGGCCGGGGGAAGCCGGUCGCUGGAGCUGGUGCGGAGCAGCCGCGGGAGGCGUGUGUCUCCAGGCUGUCGCCUGUGCCGGAGGCCGCCCCAGCCCUGCGUGACUCACGGCGGCCGGGCUCGGCGCUCGCGGCGCGGGAUUUCCAGCGCAGCCAGGCGGAGCGGAGCCCGAUGCGGUGCAUGGCUGCGUGGCUGCUGGAGAAGCGGAGGCGGCGGCGGUGCCUGACCCAGCCGCCCUCCCUGGCCCCCGGCAGGGACAUGGCCGCAUGUUGAGCGCUGCCCGGCGGCGGCCCGAGCGGAGCGGGAAGGAGUCCUGCGCAGCGCCGUGUGUCCGGGGACCCGUGGCCGGAGGCUAGCGGCUCUCCUUCCUUCUCCGCGGUUGCGAGGUUAUGCCACUCUCCAGGUUUGCUGGAUGCCUGCAUGUGAAAGAGAAAGGUUGAGAUUUGCCCAGACUUGGCAUGACGGUCCUUAGGUCCUGAACCAACAUGGCAGCUGGAGAGUCCCCUCCCGUAGGAGGUGGUUUCAUCAACCUGCAGCAGGACAGCGAUCAUGCUGAGGAGGCCUUUCCCCCCGCCGAGGAUGAUGAGGAUUUGGAUAAGACCUUGUCAAUCAAGAGGUUUGGGGACCUGAUAAGCAAGUCAGCAUCAAGGGAUCUGGAAGAGCAGAGACGCAACUACAGUGAGAGAGAUUUUGAAUUCCAUCGCCAAACCUCCCACCACAUCCACCAUCCCCUUUCCACCCACCUGCCUCCUGCCCUCAA